CUGGCUCAGGAUGAACGCUGGCGGCGUGCCUAACACAUGCAAGUCGAGCGAAGCGCUUUACUUGAAUUCUUCGGAAGGAAAGUAUUGUGACUGAGCGGCGGACGGGUGAGUAACGCGUGGGUAACCUGCCUCAUACAGGGGGAUAACAGUUAGAAAUGACUGCUAAUACCGCAUAAGACCACAGCACCGCAUGGUGCGGGGGUAAAAACUCCGGUGGUAUGAGAUGGACCCGCGUCUGAUUAGCUAGUUGGUAAGGUAAGGGCUUACCAAGGCGACGAUCAGUAGCCGACCUGAGAGGGUGAUCGGCCACAUUGGGACUGAGACACGGCCCAAACUCCUACGGGAGGCAGCAGUGGGGAAUAUUGCACAAUGGGGGAAACCCUGAUGCAGCGACGCCGCGUGAGUGAUGAAGUAUUUCGGUAUGUAAAGCUCUAUCAGCAGGGAAGAAAAUGACGGUACCUGACUAAGAAGCACCGGCUAAAUACGUGCCAGCAGCCGCGGUAAUACGUAUGGUGCAAGCGUUAUCCGGAUUUACUGGGUGUAAAGGGAGCGUAGACGGAGAGGCAAGUCUGAUGUGAAAACCCGGGGCUCAACCCCGGGACUGCAUUGGAAACUGUUUUUCUAGAGUGUCGGAGAGGCAAGUGGAAUUCCUAGUGUAGCGGUGAAAUGCGUAGAUAUUAGGAGGAACACCAGUGGCGAAGGCGGCUUGCUGGACGAUGACUGACGUUGAGGCUCGAAAGCGUGGGGAGCAAACAGGAUUAGAUACCCUGGUAGUCCACGCCGUAAACGAUGAGUAUUAGGUGUCGGGGGGCAAAAGCCAUUCGGUGCCGCAGCAAACGCCAUAAAUAGUCCCCCCGGGGAGUACGUUCGCAAGAAAGAAACUCAAAGGAAAUGACGGGGACCCGCCACAAGCGGUGGAGCAUGUGGUUUAAUUCGAAGCAACGCGAAGAACCUUACCUGCUCUUGACAUCCCCCUGACCGUCCCUUAAUCGGGGCUGUCCUUCGGGACAGGGGAGACAGGUGGUGCAUGGUUGUCGUCAGCUCGUGUCGUGAGAUGUUGGGUUAAGUCCCGCAACGAGCGCAACCCCUAUCUUUAGUAGCCAGCGGCCAGGCCGGGCACUCUAGAGAGACUGCCAGGGAUAACCUGGAGGAAGGUGGGGAGGACGUCAAAUCAUCAUGCCCCUUAUGAGCAGGGCUACACACGUGCUACAAUGGCGUAAACAAAGGGAGGCAGAGCCGCGAGGCCGAGCAAAUCUCAAAAAUAACGUCUCAGUUCGGAUUGUAGUCUGCAACUCGACUACAUGAAGCUGGAAUCGCUAGUAAUCGCGAAUCAGAAUGUCGCGGUGAAUACGUUCCCGGGUCUUGCACA
rnacentral:rRNA from 1 species